GACGAACGCUGGCGGCGCGCCUAACACAUGCAAGUCGAACGGAGUCAAGAGGAGCUUGCUUUUCUUGACUUAGUGGCGAACGGGUGAGUAACGCGUGAGUAACCUGCCCUGGAGUGGGGGACAACAGUUGGAAACGACUGCUAAUACCGCAUAAGCCCACGGAUCUGCAUGGAUCUGCGGGAAAAGGAUUUAUUCGCUCUAGGAUGGACUCGCGUCCAAUUAGCUAGUUGGUGAGGUAACGGCCCACCAAGGCGACGAUUGGUAGCCGGACUGAGAGGUUGAACGGCCACAUUGGGACUGAGACACGGCCCAGACUCCUACGGGAGGCAGCAAUGGGGGAUAUUGCACAAUGGGGGAAACCCUGAUGCAGCGACGCCGCGUGGAGGAAGAAGGUUUUCGGAUUGUAAACUCCUGUCGUUAGGGACGAUAAUGACGGUACCUAACAAGAAAGCACCAGCUAACUACGUG
rnacentral:rRNA from 1 species